AUGUCGACGGAGGCUGGCCGCACAAUCCCCAAGUUCGGCGCCUGGGACGUGAACAACCCGGCCUCCGCCGACGGGUUCACGGUCAUCUUCAGCAAGGCCAGGGAUGACAAGAAGGCCCCCGUCAACGUGCACAAGGCCAGCAAGUCCGCCGACGGCAAGGACGCCAGGCCCGACUCGAAGAUGAACCAAUCCUACAGCAACUCCAGGCCCAACACCUCGAAGAAAUGGUUCUGCUGCGUGUCGCCGAGCCCCACGCAGCCUUGA
rnacentral:rRNA from 1 species